CAAACCAAAGCUGGCGACCGGCGCACGGGUGAGUAACACGUAUCCAACCUGCCUCAUACUCGGGGAUAGCCUUUCGAAAGAAAGAUUAAUAUCCGAUAGCAUAUAUUUCCCGCAUGGGUUUUAUAUUAAAGAAAUUCGGUAUGAGAUGGGGAUGCGUUCCAUUAGUUUGUUGGGGGGUAACGGCCCACCAAGCCCUCGAUGGAUAGGGGUUCUGAGAGGAAGGUCCCCCACAUUGGAACUGAGACACGGUCCAA
rnacentral:rRNA from 1 species